UUUGAAUAUAAGUGUCAUUAAACGGCGGCUGUAACUCUGACGGUCCUAAGGUAGCGAAAUUCCUUGUCAAUUAAGUAUUGACCCGCAUGAAUGACGUAACGACUUCACCACUGUCUCCAGAGUUGAUCCAGUGAAUUUGCAAUUUACGUGAAGAUGCGUAAUAUUUACGGCGGGACGGAAAGACCCCGUGCACCUUAACUAUAAUUUUUAUAUUGAAAGGGGUAAUUUAGUAUGAAGAAUAAUUAGGAGUUUAUGAUCUAUGUAUUUUUUAUACAUUAGGGAGACGGUUGUGCUAUACUAGUUAUUAAAUUAGUAUCUUUUCUAAUUUUUGAGAAAAAAGUGUAUGAUUGGUAGUUUAGCGUGGGGCGGCUUCCUACCAAAAGAGUAACGGAGGAGUACAAAGACAAUUUCAAUUUAAUGUCAAUUAAAUUGUGAGCGUAAUGGUAUAAGAUUGUUAACUGUAAGAUUACAAAUCAAACAGAGAUAAUAGUUC
rnacentral:rRNA from 1 species